ACAUCUAUACAAGUACUAUGAUUCACUUUUGAUCAUAUACAUUGCAUUCAUUUCUUACAUUUUGGAUUCUUUGCAUUUCAUUACAUUACAUCGUUGGCAUCAUUUCUUUCAUACAUCACAUUUACCUCAAAAUGAGCUUUACAUUCUUUUCUUUACCUCAUUAGUCAUCAAAUACAAAAGAUGAACAUAGGGUAGCUACUAACAAAAUGUAACCCAACUCCGGUGGCCUCUGACUACGGUGCGAUACCUUUACCGCGGUCGCUCGCCGGCUCGCUCGGUCCCGGCUCUGUGGAAUAGUGGGGUGAGAACUACAACAAAGUUCCCAGUGGGUUCGGCCCCAACAUCACCGACUUUCCCACUAGGACUAAUUCAGGCAUAAUAGAAAGGAUAAGCAGAAAUAGUAACCAAUCUAUAACAUGAUGCUAAUAUGCCUGAACAAUAAGCAGGACGUAUGCUCAACAUGAAACUUAUGCAGAUUAUGCAAGUUCUUUCAUUCUUUACACAUUACACUUUGU
rnacentral:lncRNA from 1 species